GCCGCCGUAGCUCAGCACGGCCAGAGCGCUGGCCUUGUAACAGCCAGUGGUCCCGGGUUCAAAUCCCGGCGGCG
rnacentral:tRNA from 1 species